AAGAAAAACAAAGGGCCAAUUUCGGCCAAGCUUGGAGGAAACAAGAACCUUGGAAAAAUUUCUCAAAAAUUACUCUCUACUAAUUGGAAGGUCCCUAGCAAGGAGAAGAGGUCAUUGGAACAAGUAGAACAUUUAUUGUUGCAAGAUCAACAUUCUAGCCAAGUGGGAAAUUGAAGAAAAAGGAUUUUGGCGGAUUUGGAACGUGAAUUUGGAGUCGCAUAAGAAGCAGAAAAGGUACACCAGCUGAGCCACAGUUAUCAUAGAAGAUGUUCCAGCGGAGUUGGCGGGCUCCACUUGUUCUGGAGUGCUGCCGAGUCAGAGUAUAUGAGCUAUGGUGUUUGUUCAAUGUUAGAGACUUUGCAGACAGAGUCAUGAGUAUAGAGUGUCAGCUUGGUAGACGGCUUCAACCGUCACAAUGUUAUUACGUUUCAUGUCGCGGGUCCCAUAUGAUCAUAGACAUUACUUAUGAAAAAAAAUA